GUUGUGAGGUUAAGCGACUAAGCGUACACGGUGGAUGCCCUGGCAGUCAGAGGCGAUGAAGGACGUGCUAAUCUGCGAAAAGCGUCGGUAAGGUGAUAUGAACCGUUAUAACCGGCGAUGUCCGAAUGGGGAAACCCAGUGCAAUUCGUUGCACUAUCGUUAACUGAAUACAUAGGUUAACGAGGCGAACCGGGGGAACUGAAACAUCUAAGUACCCCGAGGAAAAGAAAUCAACCGAGAUUCCCCCAGUAGCGGCGAGCGAACGGGGAGCAGCCCAGAGUCUGAAUCAGCUUGUGUGUUAGUGGAACGGUCUGGAAAGUCCGACGGUACAGGGUGAUAGUCCCGUACACCAAAAUGCACAGGCUGUGAACUCGAAGAGUAGGGCGGGACACGUGGUAUCCUGUCUGAAUAUGGGGGGACCAUCCUCCAAGGCUAAAUACUCCUGACUGACCGAUAGUGAACCAGUACCGUGAGGGAAAGGCGAAAAGAACCCCGGCGAGGGGAGUGAAAAAGAACCUGAAACCGUGUACGUACAAGCAGUGGGAGCACCUUCGGGUGUGACUGCGUACCUUUUGUAUAAUGGGUCAGCGACUUAUAUUCUGUAGCAAGGUUAACCGUAUAGGGGAGCCGCAGGGAAACCGAGUCUUAACUGGGCGUUAAGUUGCAGGGUAUAGACCCGAAACCCGGUGAUCUAGCCAUGGGCAGGUUGAAGGUUGGGUAACACUAACUGGAGGACCGAACCGACUAAUGUUGAAAAAUUAGCGGAUGACUUGUGGCUGGGGGUGAAAGGCCAAUCAAACCGGGAGAUAGCUGGUUCUCCCCGAAAGCUAUUUAGGUAGCGCCUCGUGAACUCAUCUUCGGGGGUAGAGCACUGUUUCGGCUAGGGGGUCAUCCCGACUUACCAACCCGAUGCAAACUACGAAUACCGAAGAAUGUUAUCACGGGAGACACACGGCGGGUGCUAACGUCCGUCGUGAAGAGGGAAACAACCCAGACCGCCAGCUAAGGUCCCAAAGUCAUGGUUAAGUGGGAAACGAUGUGGGAAGGCACAGACAGCCAGGAUGUUGGCUUAGAAGCAGCCAUCAUUUAAAGAAAGCGUAAUAGCUCACUGGUCGAGUCGGCCUGCGCGGAAGAUGUAACGGGGCUAAACCAUGCACCGAAGCUGCGGCAGCGACACUAUGUGUUGUUGGGUAGGGGAGCGUUCUGUAAGCCUGCGAAGGUGUGCUGUGAGGCAUGCUGGAGGUAUCAGAAGUGCGAAUGCUGACAUAAGUAACGAUAAAGCGGGUGAAAAGCCCGCUCGCCGGAAGACCAAGGGUUCCUGUCCAACGUUAAUCGGGGCAGGGUGAGUCGACCCCUAAGGCGAGGCCGAAAGGCGUAGUCGAUGGGAAACAGGUUAAUAUUCCUGUACUUGGUGUUACUGCGAAGGGGGGACGGAGAAGGCUAUGUUAGCCGGGCGACGGUUGUCCCGGUUUAAGCAUGUAGGCUGGUUAUCCAGGCAAAUCCGGAUAAUCAAGGCUGAGGUGUGAUGACGAGGCACUACGGUGCUGAAGUAACAAAUGCCCUGCUUCCAGGAAAAGCCUCUAAGCAUCAGGUAACAUCAAAUCGUACCCCAAACCGACACAGGUGGUCAGGUAGAGAAUACCAAGGCGCUUGAGAGAACUCGGGUGAAGGAACUAGGCAAAAUGGUGCCGUAACUUCGGGAGAAGGCACGCUGGUGUGUAGGUGAAGUCCCUGCGGAUGGAGCUGAGACCAGUCGAAGAUACCAGCUGGCUGCAACUGUUUAUUAAAAACACAGCACUGUGCAAACACGAAAGUGGACGUAUACGGUGUGACGCCUGCCCGGUGCCGGAAGGUUAAUUGAUGGGGUUAUCCGUAAGGAGAAGCUCUUGAUCGAAGCCCCGGUAAACGGCGGCCGUAACUAUAACGGUCCUAAGGUAGCGAAAUUCCUUGUCGGGUAAGUUCCGACCUGCACGAAUGGCGUAAUGAUGGCCAGGCUGUCUCCACCCGAGACUCAGUGAAAUUGAACUCGCUGUGAAGAUGCAGUGUACCCGCGGCAAGACGGAAAGACCCCGUGAACCUUUACUAUAGCUUGACACUGAACAUUGAGCCUUGAUGUGUAGGAUAGGUGGGAGGCUUUGAAGCGUGGACGCCAGUCUGCGUGGAGCCAACCUUGAAAUACCACCCUUUAAUGUUUGAUGUUCUAACGUUGGCCCCUGACCGGGGUUGCGGACAGUGUCUGGUGGGUAGUUUGACUGGGGCGGUCUCCUCCCAAAGCGUAACGGAGGAGCACGAAGGUUAGCUAAUCCUGGUCGGACAUCAGGAGGUUAGUGCAAUGGCAUAAGCUAGCUUGACUGCGAGCGUGACGGCGCGAGCAGGUGCGAAAGCAGGUCAUAGUGAUCCGGUGGUUCUGAAUGGAAGGGCCAUCGCUCAACGGAUAAAAGGUACUCCGGGGAUAACAGGCUGAUACCGCCCAAGAGUUCAUAUCGACGGCGGUGUUUGGCACCUCGAUGUCGGCUCAUCACAUCCUGGGGCUGAAGUAGGUCCCAAGGGUAUGGCUGUUCGCCAUUUAAAGUGGUACGCGAGCUGGGUUUAGAACGUCGUGAGACAGUUCGGUCCCUAUCUGCCGUGGGCGCUGGAGAAUUGAGGGGGGCUGCUCCUAGUACGAGAGGACCGGAGUGGACGCAUCACUGGUGUUCGGGUUGUCAUGCCAAUGGCACUGCCCGGUAGCUAAAUGCGGAAGAGAUAAGUGCUGAAAGCAUCUAAGCACGAAACUUGCCCCGAGAUGAGUUCUCCCUG
rnacentral:rRNA from 1 species